GAAUCCAAUUCAAGUCUGAACAAAUUUUAUUAAUUAAUCUGUUGUGAAUGUAAAUCAGAUGUGUUUUUUUGAGUCCAUGAUAGGAAUUCCUGCUUCCUUUGUAACACUGCUGAGAUUAUUAGUUAGUGUAGCCCUGUGCCCAGAUGAAUGAAGCCAGCAGAUGACAGAUCAGUUUGGAAAAGGGACAUGCAGGGAUUGCCAUACAGACCUGAAGCCCAACAGUGGAACUGUCAGAGAGGGACGGAUCCUUCUAAGAACAAAGAAUUAAGACAAUUACCAAGAACUCCACCAAGAGAGCACCAGGACAGUGAUAGAGGGGUUGCCUCCUGCAGCCAGGGAAUGUUGCAAGAUGGUCGUCUCUCCUUCUUCCUGAAUAAGACAACGUACCACUGUUAUAAGAUUCCAAGUGAAUUCCUUCAGAGGAAGAGAAGGACAACAUAAGAAGGCGUGGAUGACAGACUUUCAGUUAAACUAACAAAGAAAGAACACUGCAGCACCAUCUAUGCCUACCUUUUUCUCAGCGUUUAUAAAAAAAAAUUCAUAUUCCCUACAAAGCAAAACUAUGGUAUAACAGGACAACUAAGACUGCCCUGGCACCAGAGAAACUACAAUCUAGAUGUGCUCUGCUUCCAGUCGGCCGAGAAGCCUGCAGCAAAUCACCUAAACACUUAAGGUCUUUGUGUGCCAUCCACACCCAACUGCAACUAGAGACUUUCAUUAGCCCCUUUCUGUCUCAGAGCUUUCGGUGGUUCUACAAGUCACCAGCCUGGAUCUCUAACAAUGUGUCUCUCCAAAGCUGUUAAUACAUUCACAUCCAAAAUAUCUCCAGCCACGAAAUCCUAGUUUAGAGGUUGCCCGUCCUUGUUGAAGAAACAUUUCUACACAAAUACCUGUUGCCUAUACCAGAUGGCCAUACCAAUACCCAAAUACUGACAAACGUUUAAAAGAAUUUACGGUACUCCCUUCACUUUAGAAAUGUUAACAGUUCAAGUCCAACAGAACUUAAAGGAAAAAAAGAGAAAUGUUAACAGUCUCUGGCCAGCUGAACUUCCCGGGCAUUUCCUGAACAAUGCCCCUCAAUAA
ensembl:lncRNA PRC1-AS1 PRC1 antisense RNA 1